GCAAAAGCUUGGAGGAGAGGAGGAGGUAAGAGGUCACGGAAUGGGCUGUGUGGCUAUCAGAUGAGUUCCAGACAGAAGGGCAAGGACCACCACCCUAUGGCCAGGACGUGCCUGGAGCUGUUGAGAAACAGCAGGACCAGGGAAACACAGAAGUUAAUCACCGGAGACAAGCUCCAGAUGCGUACAGCAGUGCGAGGGCGCCAGAAAAAUCUACACAAGAAACCUUAUGAACUAGCCCUCAUCCUCCAUUUUCUCCCCCAUACAUUUACCUUCUCACAAUUUACCCCCCCAGGAAUUCGAGGUCUUUCUCAUUUGUCUUUUCACUUCUCUGAGAAUGUACUGUUCUGGCCAGGCACAGUGGCUCACGCCUGUAAUCCCAGCACUUUGGGAGGCCGAGGUGGGCGGAUCACCUGAGGUCAGGAGUUCGAAACCAGCCUGGCCAACAUGGCAAAACCCUGUCUCCACUAAAAGUACAAAAAUUAGCUGGGAGUGGUGGCGGGCACCUGUAAUCCAAGCUACUCGGGAGGCUGAGACGGGAGAAUUGCUUGAACCUGGGAGGCGGGGGUUACAGUGAGCCUGGGCGACAGAGUGAAACUCCGUCUCAAAAAAAAGAGAAUGUAUUGUUCUUUUGUUAGCAUGACAUAUAAGCCUAAGUUCUAACCACCCCUGAGUGUUCUCAUCAUGGAGUGCUCCCAUGGGUAUGCACACAUAAACUUCUGUUUGCUGUGCUUUUGUUAAUCUGUCUUUCAUGAGCCUAAUGCACAGACUCCAGCCAAGGAAUCUAAGAUCAAUAAAGAGAGAGCCAUGGAAUCUAAGAUCAAUAAAGAGAGAGAGAGGGAAAAGUAUUUCCUUCCCUACAGAAGUAUAUCAGGAUCAUCUACACAUGAAAUAAGCCAGGCACAGAAAGACAAACAUUGCAUGUUCUCACAUAUUUUUGGGAUCUAAAAAUUAAAACAGGUUGGGCACGGUAGCUCAAGCCUGUAAUUCCAGC
rnacentral:lncRNA from 1 species